rnacentral:rRNA from 1 species
UACGGAGGGAGCUAGCGUUAUUCGGAAUUACUAGGCGUAAAGCGCACGUAGGCGGCUUUGUAAGUAAGAGGUGAAAGCCCAGAGCUCAACUCUGGAAUUGCCUUUUAGACUGCAUCGCUUGAAUCAUGGAGAGGUCAGUGGAAUUCCGAGUGUAGAGGUGAAAUUCGUAGAUAUUCGGAAGAACACCAGUGGCGAAGGCGGCUGACUGGACAUGUAUUGACGCUGAGGUGCGAAAGCGUGGGGAGCAAACAGG